GAUUACUUAAUCAGUUUACUCCUCGUCACUGGCUCAGGCUGACAUGUCUUUGUGUCUAUUCUGCUAGUCAAUCAAUAUUUUUGUUCUAGUCUAUUGGUUUAUAGAUUAGUGUUCUAAGUUUAGCCGGACUUGGCAGACAACUGCAUACAUUCCUGGUGGUGGGAAUAGUUCCAAGUGUGUCACUAAAGUACGUCAGGCUUAUUUCUGUUAGCAGAAGAGUACUCACAUGUACACGUGUGUAUGCACUUCAACGUUGCAUAUACAUACAAAUCAGUGUUAUGCUGCAUGUAGUGCAAGAAAAUAGGGCAAGACUGUGGUAUAAUUGGUGUAAUUUAUUGCUUUUUAUCUGGAUAAGGUUUAAGAAGUUUGAGAUGUAUUCCACUGAUGUCACACUUGGAAAUACUAAAAUUAAGUGGUGUAUAGUACAUCUUUUUUUCCAGAGAAUGCUGGAGUGUUUGAGAUAUUACUGAAUCUUCGCAGAAACUAGCACUUGAGCUCUUUCUAAAAAAAACAGCUUGCAAGACAGCCAGACAUUACUUCAUGUAAUUUUCAGUUAACUCUUACAAGUUCCCAUACUGUGAUGCCUGUAUGAGAAGAUGAAGGCAGCUAAGAACAAUGGUGACACUGACUACUAGUAUCCCAUGAGCAUGGUUCAUCAGACAGUUGACAGACAAUUAUAAUUUUACUAUAACAGCACUGAACUAAACGGAUCACAAUUGACUUGAUGUUACGGAAAUACUUCAGUAGUUUAGUAAUUAGUCAGGGAACUGUAUAUCAGUGAUAGUGAUUUCUAAUAUUAAGAGAUAUAAUUGGUAAUUAAAAAAAAACACCAAAUUUUUAAAUGCACAUUGGUGAAGAGAAAAUGAGUUAUCCAUUUGUUAAUGGCAGUAAAAUAAAUAACAUUGGGAAGAAAGCAAAAUGUGGUUUAGUAGAAUGGAAUAACUUGAAAUAUACCGAGAGGCAUAAAUAGUGCAAUGUGUAUUUCACUAAAUAUUCUCUUAUAGAAAUAUCAUAUACAUGUAUAUUAAGCAUGGUGUUUAUUGCAACAGCACAAUGUUGCAUAGAAUUUUUUUUGGCACAUGCGUUGCCUACACUCGUCUCCUUAUAAAUACAACCUUCUUUUCUUUUUUUUUUGGAGGGGGGGGUGUUCCUGUCUUUUUUUAAUAUGCCACAAUAAGUAAUCCUGACAAAAUGCUCUUUUAUUGUGAAAAAAAACAAGUUGUGGGGUUUUUCAAACUCAUUUUAUUCAAUCCCCCCCCGAUUUGAACAAUAUCAUCUUUCUAUUACAGUUGUUACCAAUAUGUCAUAUGAUAUGACAUUUCUUUAAUAAAAUAGCAGUGAAAUA